rnacentral:rRNA from 1 species
UACGUAGGGUGCGAGCGUUAAUCGGAAUUGCUGGGCGUAAAGCGCGUGUAGGCGGUCCGGUAAGUCCGCUGUGAAAGUCGAGGGCUCAACCCUCGAAUGCCGGUGGAUACUGUCGGGCUUGAGUACGGGAGAGGCGAGUGGAAUUCCUGGUGUAGCGGUGAAAUGCGCAGAUAUCAGGAGGAACACCGAUUGCGAAGGCAGCUCGCUGGAACGUUACUGACGCUGAGACGCGAAAGCGUGGGGAGCAAACAGG